CCUACGGGUGGCAGCAGUGAGGAAUAUUGGUCAAUGGACGAAAGUCUGAACCAGCCAAGUAGCGUGAAUGAUGACUGCCCUAUGGUUUGUAAACUUCUUUUAUAGGGGAAUAAAACGUUCUUCGUGUGGGAUUUUGUAUGUACCAUAUGAAUACGGAUCGGCUAACGACGUGCCAGCAGCCGAGGUAAUACGGUGGAUCCGAGCGUUAUGCGGAUUUAUUGGGUUUAAAGGGAGCGUAGGUGGAUUGUUAAGUCAGUUGUGAAAGUUUGCGGCUCAACCGUAAAAGUGCAGUUGAAACUGGCAGUCUGGAGUACAGUAGAGGUGGGCGGAAUUCGUGGUGUAGCGGUGAAAUGCUUAGAUAUCACGAAGAACUCCGAUUGCGAAGGCAGUUCACUGGACUGCAACUGACACUGAGGCUCGAAAGUGUGGGUAUCAAACAGGAUUAGAUACCCCUGUAGUC
rnacentral:rRNA from 1 species